GGGAAAGCAAAAUAGAUGUGCGGCCAGACAGUGGUGACACUUCAUUGCAGAUAGAAUCCAGAUUGGAGUAAACAGAUGCGUCUGGAGAAUCUCUGUAAUGGAGGGUAAACCAGGGAAGCCCUGUCUGGGCUGCAGCAGAUAGCUGAGGAGAAAAUGAAGAAAGAACAUCCCAGAGCUCAGAGCUUCCUCCCAUGCUCAGGAAUUGUCACCAAUGCCAUUACAUCGGCCUCCUUUUGUAUGCCUCUGGAAACCACAUGUGUCCCCUGUUUGUAACGGUUUGGCUAUGCUUGCUAGCUCCUCUUGGACAUUGUUUUCAGAACUUAAAGAAACAUUGUUUUAAAGGUUUAUUAGGAGGUAUUUAAGAUAUCCUGCAUAUCAGAUACUUACAUUACAUUUCGUAAUAGUGGAAAAA